ACAUCGGCCCUUUUCAGGGCCAACACGUACUUAAAACGGGGAAGUU
rfam:Cerapachys biroi unplaced genomic scaffold scaffold1001, whole genome shotgun sequence.